AGGUCACCACUCCAUCUUAACAAGUGAAAAGCCGAGCAGAUGAGAAACUCAACAACUCUACUAGGAGCCUUAAGAGAGGUGAGGACCCGGGGCAAACCCCUGCCCCCCAGGACCGGAGAGACUGACAGGGCUCACCCCCCCCACCCCCAAGGAGAAACUAGUUAACCAGAACCUAAGUCACCUGCCGGGAGAGAACUAUCCAACUGCAGCCGCCUCUAGCAGUCCUCCCCCACGUGAGAGGGAGAGAAAAACUAACAGCACGCGUGAAGUUCACAGUCUAGAGGCUCGGGCUCGCUAAUCACGGACUCGAACGCUUCCUCUCCCCCCAACACCUCUUCUUGGAUUUUUUUUCCCCCUAGGCUUUCCAUCUCUCUGCUGACUCUGCCCAUCUGUUCUUACAUCCAUGACUACUUGAUCCGUGACGUCCGCCCCUUAGCAUAUGAAUCAUCGUUGUCUUAAAUUCCUGGUCUGAUCAUUCCAACAUCCCUGCCAUAUCUGCA